CAGAGGGUGCAAACGUUGCUCGGAAUUACUGGGCGUAAAGCGCGUGUAGGCGGGCCGGCAAGUCAGGUGUGAAAUCCCCGGGCUCAACUCGGGAACUGCACUUGAAACUGCCGGUCUGGAGUGCCGGAGAGGGUAGUGGAAUUCCUGGUGUAGAGGUGAAAUUCGUAGAUAUCAGGAGGAACACCGGUGGCGAAGGCGGCUACCUGGACGGUUACUGACGCUGAGACGCGAAAGCGUGGGGAGCAAACAGGAUUAGAUACCCUGGUAGUCCACGCUGUAAACGAUGGGUGCUAGGUGUCGCGGGUUUUGACCCCUGCGGUGCCGUAGCUAACGCGUUAAGCACCCCGCCUGGGGAGUACGGCCGCAAGGCUA
rnacentral:rRNA from 1 species